rnacentral:lncRNA from 1 species
CAGGCACCCAGCCAGGGAGGUGCUGUUGUUGACCCUGAGGGAAGCCUUACAACACACAGAGCUGUAAUUAAGCUGUUUCUCUUAGAAAACAUGAAGCAACAUGGGCGAGGAAGUUGGCUAACAAUCAUCAUGAACAGAUGAUUCACGUGAAGAAGCAGAAAUUAUGUACUGACAAAUUAUCCAAGGUUCCAAAGGUCCUGUGAACCAAGCAGACAAAGCAAAGAGAUUUCUUCUUCCCCUCCUGACCCG